rnacentral:rRNA from 1 species
UUAAUUGUAGACUAGUAUGAAAGAGGGAUAAUUUAUGACUUUAUUUUCUAUAAUUAUUAAAAUUAAUUUUUUAGUAAAAAAGCUAAAAUUUAAUAUAGGGACAAGAAGACCCUAUAAAGCUUAAUAAAUUUAUUAAAUGUAUAAUCGUUUAAAAAAUUUUUUGUUGGGGCAAUAUGUUAUAAUGAAAAUUAUAAUAAUAAUAAAAUUAUUGAUAUAAAAGAUCCUGUAUAUAUACAGAAAAUUUGAAUAAAAAGUUACUUUAGGGAUAACAGGAUAAUUUUUAUGAGAAAGUACAAAUUUUUUAUAAAGAUUAUUACCUCGAUGUUGAAUUAAUGAGAUAGUAGGGAGAAAAAAUUCUAUAUAUUUGACUGUUCGUCAAUUAAAAAAUUACAUGAUCUGAGUUC